CCCUUAGAUGUUCUGGGCCGCACGCGCGCUACACUGAUGCAUUCAACGAGCCUAUCCUUGACCGACAGGUCCGGGUAGUCUUUGAAUCUGCAUCGUGACGGGGAUAGAUUAUUGCAAUUAUUAAUCUUCAACGAGGAAUGCCUAGUAGGCGCAAGUCAUCAGCUUGCGUCGAUUACGUCCCUGCCCUUUGUACACACCGCCCGUCGCUCCUACCGAUUGGGUGUGCUGGUGAAAUGUUCGGAUCGGCCGUUUGUCGCGGUUUCCGCGUCAUGUGGCUGAGAAGUUCAUUAAACCCUCCCACCUAGAGGAAGGAGAAGUCGUAACA
rnacentral:rRNA from 1 species